rnacentral:ribozyme from 1 species
CAAAAAUAGAAACAUUCCUUUUGCUGUAGCUUUUACUUUACUCCGUUUUAUGUGUGAUUUUUUUUUUUCUCUCGUUCUAAAUGUUGCAAAUUCUUCGAAA